rnacentral:tRNA from 1 species
UCCCUGAUGGCUCAGUGGUAAAGAAUCCGCCUGCCAAUGCAGGAGACACAGGUUCAAUUCCUGGUUCGGGAA